rnacentral:tRNA from 1 species
ACACCGAUGGUGAAAUGGUUAUCAUGCUUGCCUUCCAGUAUGGCUUUCAACAGGCUACCACUAUUAGCAAGCGGUAGGGGUUCGAUUCCCCUUCGGUGUA